UCCUUGCUAUAAUGCCCCUGCUUCUGCUCCCUUGCUUAGAUGAAUCUUCUCUUAGGCCAAAGGGGAAGACAUGUUUAUACAUCACAGAGACAGAUGCUAUCAUCCUUGAAGAUAAUAAUUUGUCCUGGCUAUAGAAAAUUAGCUCUCAUUGGUCACUGUGGGAGUGGACACAGAUGUUUUGUAUUAUGGUGUUCAAAGUCACACUAGUUAUUAGGGUCAUAAAGUGGCAUGGUUUUUCUCAACCCAUGAAAAAUGCUGAUAUGCUGACUGCACUGGGAAGAAUGCAAUAUUAAUCACAGUAGAGCUGCAAUUACAAAUGUAAGAUAUUUCAGCUAAGCAGAAAGGAUAGUCUCUCAUGCCUAAGGCACUGAUGGGAUGGGUGACCAGAAAAGUGGAUGACCAACUCUGUUCAGAAGACCUUGAUGAUGACAGCAAUAUUUCCACAUAUGGAUUUUCAUUAUGAAACUCUGCCUUGCUUGUGUCUGAAGCAAGGUCUCCUACCAGGCCCUAUUCUACUGCCCAAUGUCUGAACAGCAACUCACAUAUGACAAAUGUACCUUACUGAGCAAUUUUCUUAAAGAUCAUCAGCUUUGUGGUUUAACUAGGAGCAUACCCAGAUGGUGUCUGAUGCCUCUUGGAUCACCAGUAGCGUAUGUUGAUUUCCAGAACCAGUUCCUGUGAAAGGAGUUCACUGCCUGGCAGGAUGGUGAUCAAUACAGCCAACAUGAAGCUUUGGAGGUACACAGGCCAAUUGCUGGCUUUGUGUACCAGCAUUAAUGAUAUCCUUGGAGAUGGUGCAUUUGAACACGUAGUGCCAGAGGCACUGUGGAGUGGCUGGCAUUGAGUACUUGGUGCCAAACAGUGAAUUGUCCUUGAGUCCCAUUGACAUCGACGGAAAUUAAGAAUCCUCAACAUCUGGCAGGAUUUAACUCAAAAUGAAGCUCAUUCUGGUGUAUUUCUUCUGUGAAUUUAAAUUAGUUAUAUACACAUGAACAGCACAGUGCUUUCAUUUAAAACAUUGUGAGCAAUGAAAUAAGAAGCUAUGGGAUAAAGACAAUAUUUAUAUCACCAGUGUGAAAAACAAAUGAGAAGUAACUUUCAUAAGUGGAGUGUAUUUAUCUGUUGGAUGUCAGUUUACUUUUCCUUCCAAUCAAUACUAUGUCUGAUGUUACAGAUACCCAUUUUUUUGUGUACUCAAUGAGAUGGACAAAGCUUUCCAAUUCUGAAACCAGUGGCUUCUUCAUAAGACAAAAUCCCUGGAAAAUGUCAAUUUUAGGAUGUAAAAAAAAUCUUGUUGACUGAUAUUUGUCAUGUCCUUAGGCUUCAGUUCUACCAAGUUAUGUAGUGCAUACUUGUAAUGGAAAUGAGAGAUGUUUUUUGAUGGUAAAAGUCAGAAGACAGCCACAAAAAAGUAUACUAGCAGUGGAGAGGAGAGAAACCCAAUGGUAAGCAGUUUAAAAUAUUAGAGUUAAGUUUGUCCAGGACAACCCUUUUAUACACAAGAUUAUUCCUCAGUACUAACUUCAUAAAAUCAUAGGAUGGUUUGGGUUGGAAUGGACCUUAAAGAUCAUCCCUGCCAAGCCCCUGCCAAAGACAGGGACACCUCCCACUAGAUCAGGGAUCAGGUUGCCUGAAGUCCCAUCCAACCUAGUCAUGAACAAUUCUAGGGAUGGGGAAUCCACAGCUUCUCUGUAAGAGUGCCUCACUACUUCAUAGUAAAUAAUUUCCUCCUAAUAUCUAAUCUAAAUCUACCCUUUUCUUAGUUUAAGAAUAUUACCCUUUGCACUCCCUGGUAAAGAGUCCCUCUCCAGAUUUCCUGUGGGCUCCCUUUCAAUACUGAAAUGCUGCUAUAAGGUCGCCCUGGAACCUUCUUUUCUCCAGGCUGAACAAUCCCCGGCUCCUUCAGUCUGUCUUCAUAGUAAUGAUGCUCCAGAUCUUUGAUCAUUGUGGCCUUCCUCUGCACUCGCUCUAAUACGCUGACAUCCUUCUUGUGCUGGGGACCCUGGAACUGAAUGCAGGACUCAAGGUGGAAUCUCACAGGAGUGGAGGGGUGUGGGGGGGAGAGAAACACCUCCCUUGCCCUGCUGGUCAUGCUGCUUUUUAUGCAGCCAGGAUGCAGCUGUCUUUCUGGGUGUGAGCACAUGUUCAUGUUGAUCUGUUCAUCCCCAAGUCCUUCUUUGCAGGGAUGUUUUUUAUCCACUCAUUGC